UGGAGGUGAUGAAGAACUGUACUGCCUGCAGGCAGAGCUCUCAGGAAGGUAAUCCCUGAGUGCCAUUGCAGGUUGUCUCUGGCACACUUUCAUCCAGAUUGUUGCUGGUGAAGCCUAAGGUGUGAAUCCCUUGAAGCUGUACUUGGCAUUUCCCAGAGACAGAAGCCUGAGUCUCAAGCUUAACUGGACAUCUACAAAGGCUGCAGCUGCUAACAGAGACCACAAAGGUGACUGAGGGGUGAAGAGCAACGUCCGCCACUCUCGUGCCUUGCUUCUGUUGCUGCUGCUGUAGUGUUGGCUGUGGAUGUCUUGGCUGAUCUCCUUCCUCUUUGUGACUCACCCGGAGACUGAUGAACAGCCUGAGUUCUUCUGAAUCAACAAACCAGGGAUCUGCAGACUGAGCUAAGCCUACUAAAUCUGAGCAGCUCGAACCACGGUGAAAUGCUUUGUGGAGAUAUCACCAAGAUGCCUUUGGGAAGCAGUUGCAUUUGGUUAUGCACAAGGAAAAAGGUUCUAGCUUGUUUUGGUGUGUUGUGCUAAAAGCAAAAAUAAAAAAGUCUGGUGA